AUGCAGCUAGGGCCGAGGUGUGUUCUGAAGCAACCAGUGGCUGGGCAUGCAGUGAGGAUCGGGAAAGCCCCGGAGGAAAGGGAGAUGAACCCAAAUAGGAAAUCAACUCUUGAAUUGUCUCUGCGCGCUUAUGCUGAUAAGAAGGAUGGCCCUGUUCUCUGUCCAAGUAUUGGAACAAGCUUUGACUCUAUUGACGAGGCUUAUGAGUUCUACAAUCUUUAUUCAUGGGAAUGUGGUUUUGGAGUUAGGCUCGCGAAAAGUAGACUGAAUGUCGAGAGGAAGAGAUGCAUGCAAGAGAUCGUGUGUGCUUGUGCAGGCAAACCAAUCAGGGAAAACAGCCGCUCGUCCAGGUGUGGCUGCAACGCCAUGAUAAGACUGUUGCGGUCAAAUGACAAAGGGUGGUAUAUUGCAGAACACAAAGAUGCCCAUAAUCACCCGCUGUCUUUGACGUGUGGGCAGAAGCUGCACUGGAAGUUUCAUAGACAUAUAGAUAGAUACACCAAGGAUCUAGUGAAACAGUUGAGAGACAAUAAUGUGGGGCUUGGAAAGGUGUUCAGUAUCGUUGGUAGUUUUUUCGGUUCAGUAGAUAAUGUGCCAUUUACGAAGAGGUCGUUGAAGACGCUCUGUCGGAAACUAAACAAAGAGCAGUCUGACAUGGAUGCAAUGAAGAUGAUGGAGAUUCUGUCUGAGAUGAAGGCUAAUGAUCCUGAUUUCAAUUACACAGUGCAAGUGGAUAAGGAGAGCCGUGUAAAAACACUGAUGUGGGUAACAAGCAAAGGUCUUGAUCAGUACAGGUGCUUUGGAGAUGCAAUUACUUUUGAUACAACGUACCGCACCAAUCUAUAUGAUAUGCCUUUCGGUCUUUUGUUGGAGUUAACAAUCACUUUCAAAGCAUAA
rnacentral:rRNA from 1 species